UUAAAUGCUUUGACUGAAACAGCUCGCAUAGAGGGGAAGGUUCUGGAAUGGGAGAGAUCGGAAGAGGGGCCCAGUAUGAGAGAUCGGAAAAAUCAGAAGGAAUGGGAGGACAGAAAGCAAGGAAAGGAUAAGAUAAUUUCCGAUGACCCUUUUCAUAAUCAGAGCCGAGGUAAUUAAAACGUUGCAGGCAAGAUCAAAUCUUUACCGCACACUUCAUUUGCAGAAUCGCCCACAAUGCUGACAGGCGUCAGGACAUGUCAUGGCAGUCCUGUACAUCUCGAUCUCCA
rnacentral:misc_RNA from 1 species